AUAAAUUUACUUUUUGUUUUAAAGUAUUCAUGAACCUAUUAACUAUUAAUUAAUUAAUAAUUUUCUCUUGCAUGAAAAUUUUACCCUAUAAAUAGUGUUUAUUUUGUUUGGAAAGACAAGACUCAAAAAACACUUACCUCCUUGAAAAACAUUUGAGAGACAUUGAUCAAGUGGUGUAAUCAUCAAUUCAAGAAUAGAAGAGCAACAUUCUUGAAUGUUACUUGUUUUGUGUCUU
rnacentral:lncRNA from 1 species